AUGCACUUUUCUAUCAAUUGCUCGACAGUAAUUUGUUCACCCACCGUAAUACAUGCUAUCUUGAGAGAAGUCACUAGUGAAACCUAUGGCCCCCUGGUCUCUUUCUUAUUAUAUUGCAUCUCUUUUAUUUAUAUCGCAUCUCGUUUACUAUCUUACAAUCUUUACUUUCUAAUCUAUAUAACAAAAAUACCAAAAAUAUUUACUUUACUAUCUUUAUCAGAUCUCACUUUUGCAAGUGACUGUGAAGGGAUUGACAACCUCUUUUAUCGUGUUGGUUGCAAGGUUCUUGAUUGUUUGUGCAGGUACUAG
rnacentral:rRNA from 1 species